GCCCUUAUCGUCUAAUCGUUAAGACAGUUCCGUUUCAUGGAAAAAAUGAGGAUUCAAAUUCCUUUGGGGGUG
rnacentral:tRNA from 1 species